rnacentral:rRNA from 1 species
GCAGUGGGGAAUAUUGGACAAUGGGCGCAAGCCUGAUCCAGCAAUGCCGCGUGUGUGAAGAAGGCCUUCGGGUUGUAAAGCACUUUCAGUAGGGAAGAAAUGCGUGAAGCGAAUAACUUCGCGCCUUGACGGUACCUACAGAAGAAGCACCGGCUAACUCCGUGCCAGCAGCCGCGGUAAUACGGAGGGUGCAAGCGUUAAUCGGAAUUACUGGGCGUAAAGCGCGCGUAGGCGGUUAUAUAAGUCGGAUGUGAAAGCCCUGGGCUCAACCUGGGAACUGCAUUCGAUACUGUAUAACUAGAGUUUGGUAGAGGGAAGUGGAAUUCCACAUGUAGCGGUGAAAUGCGUAGAUAUGUGGAGGAACACCAGUGGCGAAGGCGACUUCCUGGACCAAAACUGACGCUGAGGUGCGAAAGCGUGGGUAGCAAACAGGAUUAGAUACCCUGGUAGUCCACGCCGUAAACGAUGUCAACUAGCCGUUGGGGGAAUUUGUCCCUUAGUGGCGCAGCUAACGCGAUAAGUUGACCGCCUGGGGAGUACGGUCGCAAGAUUAAAACUCAAAGGAAUUGACGUGGGCCCGCACAAGCGGUGGAGCAU